rnacentral:rRNA from 1 species
UACGAAGGGGGCUAGCGUUGCUCGGAAUCACUGGGCGUAAAGCGCACGUAGGCGGCUUCUUAAGUCAGGGGUGAAAUCCUGGAGCUCAACUCCAGAACUGCCUUUGAUACUGAGAAGCUUGAGUCCGGGAGAGGUGAGUGGAACUGCGAGCGUAGAGGUGAAAUUCGUAGAUAUCAGGAGGAACACCGAUGGCGAAGGCAGCUCGCUGGGACGGUACUGACGCUGAGGCGCGAAAGCGUGGGGAGCAAACAGGG